rnacentral:rRNA from 1 species
UACAGAGGUCUCAAGCGUUGUUCGGAUUCAUUGGGCGUAAAGGGUGCGUAGGUGGCGUGGUAAGUCGGGUGUGAAAUUUCGGAGCUUAACUCCGAAACUGCAUUCGAUACUGCCGUGCUUUGAGGACUGGAGAGGAGACUGGAAUUUACGGUGUAGCAGUGAAAUGCGUAGAGAUCGUAAGGAAGACCAGUGGCGAAGGCGGGUCUCGUGGACAGUUCCUGACACUGAGGCACGAAGGCCAGGGGAGCAAACGGG